rnacentral:snoRNA from 1 species
UUGUAUAUUUUAAGAAAUUUCUCUAGGUUGUUGCUAGAAAGUUUCUGUGUGGAGUCCUCAAAGGCCACAAGGAGGCAGGUUUUCUUCCAGAAUGUGAAGUCAGCUCGUGAUGUUGCAUUUGUUAACUGCCUUUUGCCUUUGAUGACUGUUCUUUUUCCCCUGGAGGAGUAAGAGGCAGGGAACACCAUCUGUGAU